rnacentral:rRNA from 1 species
CAGUCGAGCGAAUGGAUUAAGAGCUUGCUCUUAUGAAGUUAGCGGCGGACCGGUGAGUAACACGUGGGUAACCUGCCCAUAAGACUGGGAUAACUCCGAGGAAACCGGGGCUAAUACCGGAUAACAUUUUGAACCGCAUGGUUCGAAAUUGAAAGGCGGCUUCGGCUGUCACUUAUGGAUGGACCCGCGUCGCAUUAGCUAGUUGGUGAGGUAACGGCUCACCAAGGCAACGAUGCGUAGCCGACCUGAGAGGGUGAUCGGCCACACUGGGACUGAGACACGGCCCAGACUCCUACGGGAGGCAGCAGUAGGGAAUCUUCCGCAAUGGACGAAAGUCUGACGGAGCAACGCCGCGUGAGUGAUGAAGGCUUUCGGGUCGUAAAACUCUGUUGUUAGGGAAGAACAAGUGCUAGUUGAAUAAGCUGGCACCUUGACGGUACCUAACCAGAAAGCCACGGCUAACUACGUGCCAGCAGCCGCGGUAAUACGUAGGUGGCAAGCGUUAUCCGGAAUUAUUGGGCGUAAAGCGCGCGCAGGUGGUUUCUUAAGUCUGAUGUGAAAGCCCACGGCUCAACCGUGGAGGGUCAUUGGAAA